rnacentral:rRNA from 1 species
GCGCACCAGUCGCGAAACCUCCGCAAUACACGAAAGUGUGACGGGGCCAUCCCGAGUGCCGUCCGCUGAGGACGGCUUUCCCCAGUGUACACAGCUGGGGGAAUAAGGAGAGGGCAAGCCUGGUGUCAGCCGCCGCGGUAAUACCAGCUCUCCGAGUGGUGGGGACGCUUAUUGGGGCCUAAAGCAUCCGUAGCCGGCUGGGCAAGUCCUCCGUUAAAUCCAACGAUUCAAUCGUUGGGCUGCGGGGGAUACUGUCCAGCUUGGGGCGGGAGAGGCCGACGGUAUUCCCGGGGUAGGGGUGAAAUCCUAUAAUCCCGGGAGGACCACCAGUGGCGAAGGCUGUCGGCUAGAACGCGCCCGACGGUGAGGGAUGAAAGCUGGGGGAGCGAACCGGGAUUAGGAUACCCCGUAGU